rnacentral:rRNA from 1 species
AUAGAGGGGAAUAGCCUUCGAAAGGAAGAUUAAUACCGCAUAAGAUUGUAGCUUCGCAUGAAGUAGCAAUUAAAGGAGCAAUCCGCUAUGAGAUGGGCCCGCGGCGCAUUAGCUAGUUGGUGAGGUAACGGCUCACCAAGGCGACGAUGCGUAGCCGACCUGAGAGGGUGAUCGGCCACAUUGGGACUGAGACACGGCCCAGACUCCUACGGGAGGCAGCAUG